rfam:Oryza punctata chromosome 4, whole genome shotgun sequence.
UUUAAACAUGACCAUAAGUUUUCGUGUCCAAUUUUGAUCGUCUGUCUUGAUUUUUUUAUAAUCAGUAUUUUUAUUAUUAUUAGAUGAUAAAACAUGAAUAAUACUUUAUACGUAACUUAUAUUUUUUAGUUUUCUUAAUUUUCUUAAAUUUUUUUAAAUAAAAAGAACGAUUAAAGUUGGACACGGAAACUCGUGACUAUGUUUAAA